rnacentral:rRNA from 1 species
GAGUUUGAUCAUGGCUCAGAUUGAACGCUGGCGGCAGGCCUAACACAUGCAAGUCGAGCGGCAGCACGGGGAGCUUGCUCCCUGGUGGCGAGCGGCGGACGGGUGAGUAAUGCAUGGGAAUCUGCCCGGUAGUGGGGGAUAACCCGGGGAAACCCGGGCUAAUACCGCAUACGUCCUACGGGAGAAAGCAGGGGAUCUUCGGACCUUGCGCUAUCGGAUGAGCCCAUGUCGGAUUAGCUUGCUGGUGAGGUAACGGCUCACCAGGGCGACGAUCCGUAGCUGGUCUGAGAGGAUGAUCAGCCACACCGGGACUGAGACACGGCCCGGACUCCUACGGGAGGCAGCAGUGGGGAAUAUUGGACAAUGGGGGAAACCCUGAUCCAGCCAUGCCGCGUGUGUGAAGAAGGCUUUCGGGUUGUAAAGCACUUUCAGCGGGGAAGAAGGCAUGGCGGCUAAUACCCGCCAUGAAGGACAUCACCCGCAGAAGAAGCACCGGCUAACUCCGUGCCAGCAGCCGCGGUAAUACGGAGGGUGCAAGCGUUAAUCGGAAUUACUGGGCGUAAAGGGCGCGUAGGCGGCCUGCCAAGCCGGAUGUGAAAGCCCCGGGCUCAACCCGGGAACGGCAUUCGGAACUGGCAGGCUAGAGUGCAGGAGAGGAAGGUGGAAUUCCCGGUGUAGCGGUGAAAUGCGUAGAGAUCGGGAGGAAUACCAGUGGCGAAGGCGGCCUUCUGGACUGACACUGACGCUGAGGCGCGAAAGCGUGGGUAGCAAACAGGAUUAGAUACCCUGGUAGUCCACGCCGUAAACGAUGUCGACCAGCCGUUGGACCCCUUGAGGGUCUGGUGGCGC